rnacentral:lncRNA from 1 species
AUGAUUCUCGUUGACAAAAGCUGGUUUUUAUCUGUCUCUUCUUCUCUUUUCUUUCCAAUAGCAGGGUCUGCAUUAGCACCAAACUGGAAUCAGGAGCCAGCAUGGAGUAUUGAAUCCAGGCAGUCCAGGUGCCAUGUUCCAGAGAGGAGGGUGCGUCUGUUCCAGUUGAGAGACACCCUGUCUACUGCCUCACAGGGAAGAGUGGCCAUAUUUUCAAAUACACAGGAUGACAACGUGGAACUUUACCAUGGGCCCAGCAAAUGUCAGGAGAGAGCUGUGAGUAACACGUUAGAGUUUGCCCAGAUGCCUCAGAACUGA